UUCCUGUAGCGCAAUUGAUAGCGCGUUGAGUUUCUAAUCGAAAGAUCAUGGAUUCGAAUCCCAUGGGUCAAAA